UGUUAAAAAAUUCAUCUAUUUUUACUGUUAAAAAUUAGUGUGCUUGAUGGAAUAACCUGACAGUUACAUGUAACAUGCCAGGUACACCUUUUGUUAGUAUUUAGGGGCUAAUUUUUAUCAAUAAAAAUAGAUAAUAUUUUUAACA
rfam:Gossypium arboreum cultivar AKA8401 contig_509_3, whole genome shotgun sequence.